rnacentral:rRNA from 1 species
AAAUGAAUAGACGGGGACCCGCACAAGCAGCGGAGCAUGUGGUUUAAUUCGAUGCAACGCGAAGAACCUUACCAGGGCUUGACAUGUAGUUGUAAGGCUUAGAGAUAAGUCCCUCUCUUCGGAGACAGCUAUACAGGUGGUGCAUGGUUGUCGUCAGCUCGUGUCGUGAGAUGUUGGGUUAAGUCCCGCAACGAGCGCAACCCCUAUCUUUAGUUACUAACAGGUAAUGCUGAGGACUCUAGAGAGACUGCCGGUGACAAACCGGAGGAAGGUGGGGACGACGUCAAAUCAUCAUGCCCUUUAUGUCCUGGGCUACACACGUGCUACAAUGGUCGGUACAACGGGCAGCCAACGAGCGAUCGUGAGCGAAACCCAAAAAGCCGAUCCCAGUUCGGAUUGCAGGCUGCAACUCGCCUGCAUGAAGUCGGAGUUGCUAGUAAUCGCGGAUCAGAAUGCCGCGGUGAAUGCGUUCCCGGGUCUUGUACACACCGCCCGU